rnacentral:rRNA from 1 species
AGGGCACCACCAGGAGUGGAGCCUGCGGCUUAAUUUGACUCAACACGGGAAAACUCACCCGGCCCGGACACCGUAAGGAUUGACAGACUGAGAGCUCUUUCUUAAUUCGGUGGGUGGUGGUGCAUGGCCGUUCUUAGUUGGUGGAGCGAUUUGUCUGGUUAAUUCCGAUAACGAACGAGACUCUGGCCUAUUAAAUAGACGGUAUAUCUAAAAAAAGUAUACCGCGCUUCUUAGAGGGACAACCGGCGUCUAGCCGCAUGAAAUAGAGCAAUAACAGGGCUGUGAUGCCCUUAGAUGUCCGGUGCUGCACGCGCGCUACACUGAAAGAAUCGGGAUGCGCCGCCGCCUAGUUCGGAAGAACCGGCCAACCCGAGCAAAUUCUUGCUUGCUUGGGAUAGGUAAUUGCAAUUAUCUCCCUUAAACAAGGAAUUCCCAGUGCAUGCGGGUCAUACGCUCGCGUUGAUUACGUGCCUGCCCUUUGUACACACCGCCGGUCGUUCCUACCGAUUGAAUGACUUA